rnacentral:rRNA from 1 species
CAAUAGCGUAUAUUAAAGUUGUUGCAGUUAAAAAGCUCGUAGUUGGAUUUCUGGUCGGAAGCUCCUGUCCUCUGAUGAGCGUACAAGUGCGUCCUACCAUCCUUCUGUUAACCUUUAAGGCUUUCGCGGCCUUCUAGGGGCUCAGAUAUUUUACCUUGAGAAAAUUAGAGUGUUCAAAGCAGGCCUUUGCUGUGAAUACAUUAGCAUGGAAUAAUAAGAUAGGACUGUAGUGCUAUUUUGUUGGUUUGCGUACUAUGGUAAUGAUUAAUAGGGAUAGUUGGGGGUAUUCAUAUUCAAUUGUCAGAGGUGAAAUUCUUGGAUUUAUGGAAGAUGAACUACUGCGAAAGCAUUUACCAAGGAUGUUUUCAUUAA